rnacentral:rRNA from 1 species
UAGUGUAGUUAACACCUGCAUUAUUUGACGUUACCUACAGAAGAAGCACCGGCUAACUCCGUGCCAGCAGCCGCGGUAAUACGGAGGGUGCGAGCGUUAAUCGGAAUUACUGGGCGUAAAGCGCAUGCAGGCGGCCUGUUAAGUCAGAUGUGAAAGCCCCGGGGCUUAACCUCGGAAUUGCAUUUGAAACUGGCAGGCUAGAGUCUUGUAGAGGGGGUAGAAUUUCAGGUGUAGCGGUGAAAUGCGUAGAGAUCUGAAGGAAUACCAGUGGCGAAGGCGGCCCCCUGGACAAAGACUGACGCUCAGAUGCGAAAGCGUGGGGAGCAAACAGGAUUAGAUACCCUGGUAG